rnacentral:rRNA from 1 species
AGAGUUUGAUCCUGGCUCAGAUUGAACGCUAGCGGCAGGCCUAACACAUGCAAGUCGAACGGUAACAGGGAUGGCUUGCAAUCCGCUGGCGAGUGGCGCACGGGUGCGUAACGCGUAUGCAAUCUACCUUACACUGGGGGAUAGCCUUUAGAAAAUGAGAUUAAUACCCCAUAGUCUAUGAUUGUCACCUGGCAUUUAUAGUAAAGGUUACGGUGUAAAAUGAGCAUGCGUUCCUAUUAGUUAGUUGGUAAGGUAACGGCUUACCAAGGCUACAAUAGGUAGGGGCCCUGAGAGGGGGAUCCCCCACACUGGUACUGAGACACGGACCAAACUCCUACGGGAGGCAGCAGUGAGGAAUAUUGGACAAUGGGCGAGAGCCUGAUCCAGCCAUGCCGCGUGCAGGAAGACUGCCCUAUGGGUUGUAAACUGCUUUUAUACGGGAAGAAACGGCUCCACGUGUGGGGUUUUGACCGUACCGUAUGAAUACGCAUCGGCUACCUCCGUGCCAGCAGCCGCGGUAAUACGGAGGAUGCAAGCGUUAUCCGGAAUCAUUGGGUGUAAAGGGUCCGUAGGCGGGCAAUUAAGUGCAGGGGUGAAAGUGUGCGGCUCAACCGUAAAAUUGCCUUUGAUACUGGUUGUCUUGAAUUAGUGUGAAGUGGUUAGAAUGGGUAGUGUAGCGGUGAAAUGCAUAGAUAUUACUCAGAAUACCGAUUGCGAAGGCAGAUCACUAACACUUUGAUUGACGCUGAUGGACGAAAGCGUGGGGAGCGAACAGGAUUAGAUACCCUGGUAGUCCACGCCGUAAACGAUGGAUACUAGCUGUUCGGAACUUGUUCUGAGUGGCUAAGCGAAAGUGAUAAGUAUCCCACCUGGGGAGUACGUGCGCAAGAAUGAAACUCAAAGGAAUUGACGGGGGCCCGCACAAGCGGUGGAGCAUGUGGUUUAAUUCGAUGAUACGCGAGGAACCUUACCAGGGCUUAAAUGCAGUGUGACAGGAGUGGAAACAUUCUUUUCUUCGGACACAUUGCAAGGUGCUGCAUGGUUGUCGUCAGCUCGUGCCGUGAGGUGUCAGGUUAAGUCCUAUAACGAGCGCAACCCCUGUUGUUAGUUGCCAGCGAGUCAAGUCGGGAACUCUAACAAGACUGCCGGUGCAAACCGUGAGGAAGGUGGGGAUGACGUCAAAUCAUCACGGCCCUUACGUCCUGGGCUACACACGUGCUACAAUGGCCGGUACAGAGAGCAGCCACUGCGCAAGCAGGCGCGAAUCUAUAAAACCGGUCUCAGUUCGGAUCGGGGUCUGCAACUCGACCCUGUGAAGCUGGAAUCGCUAGUAAUCGCACAUCAGCCAUGGUGCGGUGAAUACGUUCCCGGGCCUUGUACACACCGCCCAUCAAGCCAUGGAAGCUGGGGGUACCUGAAGUCGGUGACCGUUAAGGAGCUGCCUAGGGUAUAUCUGGUAAC